CGUCGGAGGGAGCUGGAGAGAGAUAGAAAGAGUCAACGAGAGAGGGUCGAAGGUCGUACGAAGGAGUCUUCGUAUGCACCGAGGAAUAAAAAGGGUGUGGUGUGGCGAAGGAUGUUGCGAUGGCACCUCAAAAUUGUCCAUUGAUCACGGAAACGUAAUCGAGUCGACAGCUCUGAAGUGAAACGGUAACUGAUUCUAUCCUUUACAGGGUGGGGCACGAUCCCGUCGUCCAGCACAGAAGGAUACCCCGGUCGAUAGCACGCACCUACACCACCCAUCCUUGCCGCCACCACCACCACCACCACCACCCACAGUAUAGCAACCAGUGCCAGAAGGAAUACCCGGUGAAAACGCACACGCACGCGCUCACGGAUAUACCCACUACCAUCAGUCUCACGCACCACCACGCACUCGCGUCCUGGACCCGCCCGACAUCCACGGAGCCUACUACCACUACCCCCUGAGUACCCAUACGCCAAAGACCCAGAAAUUUUGCUCCUCCCGAUUUCCCAGGGUAUCAAACCAGCCUCUUUGCCGCCACCACCUACUUCGGGCAUCCUCAGAUCAUCUACUUCCUUUGGCUUCUGCUUUCUGCACCUGAAGCUUGGUUCACCUUCAUUUUUCCCGGGGGUUGAGACACAUGGGAUAAAAUCUACUUUAUUCGAAGGGAUCAGUCGUAUUGUCAGACUGUAAAAUAAUUUUACGUUGCCCCGUGUCCUGAUGUCUAUUUACAGUUAGACGUUUAAUUCCGUGAUACAACUUUAGCAGGACAUAUACAAUUGUAUAUUCGAUUCGAGUUUCGUACUGUAUUCCUGCACUUUUAAUAUUCUGGGUUAUCGAUCUCCCGUAUUCGAUUAGGUAUUUAUGUCUCUUUGUAAAUAGUACGUAUGUCCCAUAGUUCCAUGAGUUAUUUAAGGAUGUAAUGUUGGUCAGGCUAAUAUAGGUAAUUUAUUAAUUUUUCAAAUGAAAUAUGAACUUUAUUAUUCUGGAGCGCUUGGCCAACCACUUUCUUCUAGGUUUGUACUUUUCACAGUGUACAGUGUACACUUCUUCAGCCGUAAGUUAUUCGUCCUUAAGUGUUUACCGCAACCCGGGUGGUAACUCGUGUCUAAAGAGUAACAAAAGGGGCUGGUUGAAAAGGGUAGUCAAGACCCCGGCUCCACGCAUUUCCCGUCUCUGUGCACUUUGGUUAAAUGAAAAAUUCUACUUCCCAUUAAUCCCGCUAUGCGAAUCGAGCGCCACUUGUAUGCCCGGCAGAACAUCGAAAUGCAACGAGCUCUCGUCUGUCUUAAAACGUAACCAAACGAAUCCAGCGAAGAAUUUUAAGUAUGGCAUACCUACCGCAGCUUAGGUACAAUCAGUCAAACGCAAUUCGAGCUUCCGGCGCGACAGGUAAAUGAAGGAGACGUAUGGGGGAUGGUAUACGAAAGGAUCCUAUUGUGUCUUGGACUUCAAUAACAUCCAGACACUUGAUAAUAUCUGUAGGUUAUCUCGAUACUGUAUCCCGUUAUCAAGGCUGACUAUGAUAACUCGACAGUAUCCAGGCAAAUUCUUGAUGUAGUUUAUUAAUCUUAUUAGUCACUUUUUUUCCUAUUUGCACAGUAUCCCUGUUUACGAAAAAAUUUGAGGAUGGAGAUAAAAUAACAUUAUGCCAAAAAUAACUGAUCUAGAUUAUACAGACUGUAUGGAUCGCUUAUUAAAGAAAUUCAAUGUCAUAAUUUAAUAUCUAUGAAAAUUUAAAUUGAGUAUAGCGGUUAUCUGACACUUUCAAUUUCCUAUUUCCCGCCAUGCGCGACAGUCUAUGCGCGCUAACUUAAGUCUUGCGGAGCUAUCGUUUUAUGGCGCGAUAUUUGAAAUUAUUUAAUCGAGUGUAUUUUAUUUGAAUGCGACAUUCUUGGAUCGUCCGGCAAGAUAAUCAAAUCGAUAUGUCAAAAAUUGAGGUUAUGCAACCUUCCAGAAGUUACCUUCCAUUCUGCAAAGUAAUUUAUCGAUACUCGAGGACUUUUACGUCAAUAAAUUACGCUGUGACAAGAAGUUGCUGUUGAUUAAAAUACAUAUACAUGUAUAUAUAUAAAUGAAUAAAGCGAUAACCGUUAUCAGAGUUAAUAUUUGACUCAGCAAUGAUUUUAUAUUAACUUCAUUAAUAUAUAUCAUUAAAUCUAUCGCUUAUGAUAGAUACUAUCUAAUAUAUUAUCUAGCACAUUAUAUAAACGACAAUUGAAUAAAGUCGAGCAAUUUUUUUUUCACGAUUGUCAAAAUUAAAAUCGAAUCGCAAAAAUUCAAUGAAAUUUCAUCAAAGAAAACGUACUGAGCGUUUAUUUAUCUACUCUGCUAGCAGCUCACAUAGAAAUUCUUCAAACGUAAUUAUGAUUUAUAUAUAUAAUUAAAUCUAUCGCUUAUGAUAGAUACUAUCUAAUAUAUCAUCUAGCACAUUAUAUAAACGACAAUUGAAUGAAGUCGAGAAAUUUUUUUUUCACGAUUGUCAAAAUUAAAAUCGAAUCGCAAAAAUUCAAUGAAAUUUCAUCAAAGAAAACGUACUGAGCGUUUAUUUAUCUACUCUGCUAGCAGCUCACAUAGAAACUCUUCAAUCGUAAUUAUGAUAAGGGGGGGCCAUGACGUAAGCAACCUGAAAAAGCAGGCAACUCGUUUGGUUUUUCAAGUGUCGACAUCUGUGGGCAACUAUGCUCGAUCUCGUCUUGUAUACGUCAUGGUCCGUAGGGUCUUUAAUAAUAAUAACGGCAUUAAAUAGCAGACUAUAGGAAAAGAAAAAAAAAUGUGGCAAAUCAAAAUAAUAAUAAUAAAAAUCAAAACCUUCGCGAGGAUAACUCAUUGAAUUUUCUAACGAAAUUGAUCAACUUUUUAGUCGGACAUAAAAAUUUGUUCAAUGACUCACUGCGACCUCGAAGAAAUGAGACAAGAUCGUUCUUGGAACGUAAAAUGCAGGAAGUGACAAAUGAAUUCCGCUUUCCAGGAACGUGUAUUACUUGGGUACGUUGUACGUGGGAAUUGAGAAAUUUGACUAGUAGUAGUGAGGAAAAAGGUCGUACGACGUGUUUCGAAAAUUUUGUUAAAAAUAAAUAUAUAUAUAUAUAUAUAUAUAUAUAUACCCAUACGUAGAGCGUGCAAAAAAGACGGAAGUCAAUAAUGACGUCAGCUGAUUCACCGGACGUAGCGAAAUUUCGUUCAUCACGGCGAUAGUCACGCUCUAUUAAUUCGACGUAGCAAUCCUGUCGAAUUAAGUAAAUUUCCGACUCGUGGGACGUGCAGAAGCGCUAAUAGGAACGCAAAAUGUCGUGGAAGAUAGGCGGUUGAGAAAUGACGGUCGUUUAUUCGAAUGCUUUAGUGCAUCGGUGAGUACGAGGUUAAUUCAUUAAGCCCGGGACACAUGGUAAAAUGAAUUCUAUACGGGAAUCUGGAAAUAUGUAUGCGGUAAAUAAAAAGAUUUUUUUACAUAUACCACUGUCCGUAGGCAAUUGCAAUGGGGACUGACUUCAAGUUGCAUCUAAUUUGGUGAGUCUAAAAAUAACGCGACGGUGGCUUCUCUCCGGUGUAUUUAUCCUUGGCGUAACUUUGACCGUUGACACGAUGAUCUUGGCGCCGAGCCUGCAUCACUGAAAUCCGCACGUUCCUUGCCAAAGCGUGAGAAAACGAGGUAAAUUGGAAACAUUGCCAGCUGCCGAGUCAGAAAAUCCCGCAUUUCUGCAUAAUCUUUUUUACUCGAAUACGUCGCUUAUUAAUACAAAUGCCUGCACUACGUGAUGGGUAAUGAAAAACGAAGACGCAUUGAAUCUUCUUGAUACGAAGUACAGCUGCUUUACCAGCUGUUAGCAAGUAAUUUGAAUGAAAGAUGAGAACCUAUUUUUUCUUUAUUAUACACAAGAAGGGAAUACCCAUAGGAAUUUAAAACUUUCCGCUGGUACAGUCACGCGGAAUGCUGUCAUCUGUGUGCACGAGUGACCGCGAGACUGACUCUGAUGAAGCAUAACUUUUUUUUCGUUAAUCAAGGUAACCAACGGAAUUUCUAAACGAAGGUUACCCCGCCGAUCAACGAAGCGUGAAUAUACCUUUUUACGAUAACAUAACGCUACGUAACAUUGUCAGAGUACAGAUUACCUUUUGAGUUUUAAAUUUUCUACGAGUCAUGGUACAGGAAUUCGUAUUACGUAAUAAAAGAAAUCAAUUGUCAUCCGAUUCGGUAUAAUUUACUCAACCCAUUUUCGUGUACAAGUGAUUUACAAAUAUCAGCAUUCACGAAUUUAUUUUAAAUCUUGCUGCUACAUAAAGUAACCGAAACUUCACGUGUAUUAUUCCUCGUCUUUAAUCAAAGAACAUAAUAUAUUUUUUUAAUGUUCCUUCGAACACUCCAAUGUAGAUAACACAGGUAUUCCGCUAGAGGUAUACCGGUACCGCAGAGCGUUGCGCCAUCUCUGAACAGCCAGGUGAACAUACGUCACGUUCACCCAUAAGUUCCGAUUUAACGCGACGCGCAAGACCUGCAACGUUGUCGGGCGACAAUGGGCAGAAUGCGAAUACGCGGAGCGCGAUUAUUUGGCCGCGUUUCAAAAAUCAUUGGAUUUGAGCACAGGUACCUGUUAAGUACCUAGUAAAUAGUAAUUAGUAUACAAUGCACAGGCAUAGGCAGCACUUCAAGUCAAUCAUGUAGCGUUGUCUCCUGAUACGACUAGCACGCGACGUGACAUACUCAAGAAGACAGUAUUGCAUAGAGUAUACAUUGAAGUGUUACGUCAGUAAAUGCAAAAGGAAAGAACAAGAGGAUCACCCGUGUUAUUCUGGCAGUUGGCAAUGUUCAAACAAGACUUUAACCACGUAGUGCACAGAUCCUCUCGCAACAGUUCUGGCGCGAUUCUCGUGAAUCCGUGACGUUAUUGCGCAAGCAGAAAAUGGUAAUUACGUAACGAUCUCCGGUGUUUCGAGGGUUCCUAAACCGUAGCAGCCAGGACGACCACAACAAAAUAUUCUAAAUCCGUCGUGGGCAAUGAGGUGCUAGACUCCGAGGAGGCUAGUGAGGAACGAAGAAAAAGAAGAGGUAGAAGGGAGACACUAAAAAACCCUAGAAGAUGCCCCGGCUCAACCGUCCCAGCGAUUUAUAAUUAGUACAGCCAACGCUUUCUGAUCUAUAGAUCGUACAAGAAUCGAGCGCUAUUUUCUACCAUAAAGCCGCAGUGCUGCUACGUUUGACCUGCUGUGCAGAAAAGGCUGUGACGCUAAGGUCAGAAACUGGAUCGUUUGAACGUCAUUGUAGCGUUAUGAAGCCUUUAUAUAAAUUAUUCGAGCUACACUUGCAUAUGACGCUCAUUUUAGAACAGCAUUGGUACCACGUGCAAACUCGCACGGAAUUCUUCGACCAAUAAGAAAAUCGAUCGGCCAUAGUCAAGCUGAUCAAUUAUGACUGAAGUUUUAAAAUGGCUGGCGCCUCUGUCGAAAUUUGCGAUGAAAGUAUCGCCGGAAGAUUUACAAAAGCAAGAGGGAAAAAAUAGACAUUUUUUACCGCAAAAAGAUGGCGACGACAAAUCAUUAAUCACUUGAUAAGUUUCCUUGCUCGUAUAUCGAGAGCCUCUUCAAAGCGAUGACUGCUUUUACCAUUGGAGCUUAUAAUGUUUUCAUUACAAACACGGCAAGAGCUUUCGCUGGAGGCUACGUUUAGAGAAGAAGAGGACUGACGAAAACAUUCGCAAGCAGGGGUCAAAAGGUGAUCGCUCUUUGCUCUGCUGAAAUUGUUUAAUUAUUUAUAAUCAUAAGAUGUAGGUAUCUCGGAGAUACGUUCAAUGACUGUCUACUAAUCGAAUACAAAGUGGGAGUUUAACGAUUAGUCAUCGAUCAGGUAUUCUUGUGCUUACGCCUAGUCUAAAUGUCUGGGUUCCCGUCUGCCUCCGGAUUAGAUUAGAAGAACAGUUAGAGAGCCUUGCGAUUCGGCUAACGAGCCGAGGAAACCACGGGGAGUUCAAAGAUCUUUCUCUGUCCUAGACAAAAAUAGAUGGCGCAACGUGCGAGCUUUCGUGCGAGAGGGGCAAAGAGCUAAGUCGCUAAUGGGAGUUGACAAGAUUAAUAGUACGAGGCUGCAUUUCUACGUGCGUUCAAACUACAUUCCAGACGGCUCGGGAGAGACGGGGUUGCAACGUGUGAAAAUGUACCUUGGGUUAUAAACCAUAGUCAAUUUUUGUUCAAUGGUCAGGGUAUUUUCGUUCGAUUAUUCAUCUUGCCUAUUGCAUGCUUAAGGGAGGGGAUGAUUUAUGUCGUUAACGAUUAUCUUAAUUAGCGAUUGCGAACGGCCAAUUGUUAUGCAAUCGCGUGAUAACUGUAUGGUAAAAUAAUUACAGGGUCGGGUAAUUUAAUUAGUGAAUCAAAUAGACUGUCUGCUUCGCCUGGAUUAUUAGCUGCAGGUAUUAUCGACUCUUCCAAGAUCGAUACACCUUGGUGGAAGAGUUAGCAGCUCGUGAGGAUGGAGAAGCCACGAUAACGCGAAAUCUAUAUAUUUCUUUUAAUUUUUCUAAAUAAAAUUCAACUUUUUCAAUACCAUGAAUAUAAAAAUAGUAAUAUUUUUACUUUUUCCAUAUUAAGUAUCCAUCUAUAUCGCCAUAACAGUCUCUCUACUUGUUUGUAAUAGAGUCUAUCCAUGAGUUUAAUGUUUUUUUUUUGGACACUCGUCAAACAAUGUAAUUAUACGUAAAUCACGUAUCUUCGUAAAAUCAUGGAAAUAUUCGGUAACAUAUAGCCAAACAAAAUGUAAUUUAAAAACCACGCACGUGCAUACUUUGUAAGAAUUUUAGAGUGUUACAUAUAGCUCUUUAGAAACUUCAUUUUUUAUUCAUAAAACAAAAACAUUUAACUAGUGGA